GCCUACGACCAUAUCACCCUGAAUGCGCCCGAUCUCGUCUGAUCUCGGAAGCUAAGCAUGGUCGAGCCUGGUUAGUACUUGGAUGGGAGACUGCCUGGGAAUACUAGAUGUUGUAGGCU
rnacentral:rRNA from 1 species